UACGUAGGGUGCAAACGUUGUUCGGAAUCACUGGGCAUAAAGAGCGCGCAGGCGGUCUGAUAAGUCUUGUGUGAAAGCCCCCGGCUCAACCGGGGAAUUGCACUGGAUACUGUCGGGCUAGAGUACAGGAGGGGAGAGCGGAAUUCCUGGUGGAGCGGUGAAAUGCGUAGAUAUCAGGAGGAACGCCAGUGGCGAAAGCGGCUCUCUGGUCUGUUACUGACGCUGAGGUGCGAAAGCUAGGGGAGCAAACGGG
rnacentral:rRNA from 1 species